rnacentral:misc_RNA from 1 species
AAGCCUACUUAGCUAGCUAAGCAUAAGUCCAAGCAGAACAUACAUAUAAGCAGCAAAAUAUACCUCUAAUGUCACAGCAUAUUUCCAUUUCAUAAUCGAACUUUUGAACACGAAUAACAAACGUAGGUCAGAAAACACAAUUUAGCCAGUGAUAUUUCAGAAUUCAAGAUACAAAGUUAUUUGUCUAUGCAUUUUGAAUGGCAAUUUUAGUCUCCAAUCUCUUCUUUUACGGCUUAAAGGUCUACCUUUACUUUCAGGGUCCCUGUUUUCUCUCACAUCUGCCAACUUCCAUACACAGUUCUCUGAUUCUGUCUCUAUGGACUCCAGAAAAAAGAUUCCAUCCUUUUCUGGGCCAAUAGACUCUGCGCCUUCUGCAUAGCAUACUCUCAUCGGCAUUUCUUUGAAUCGACAUAAAUCAUCUGGUACCUUUAGUGUUCUCUCUGCGCCAGGAGAUGAUACCUUCAAGGCAGGAACAAUGUGAUCACAAGAAGUUAAUAUCAGGACAAUUAGAACCUUGUUUAAGCAACGGUAAAGAAGAGUUGACUAUUAAUUGCCUCAAGGGCCAAAUCAUCAGGAAUUUGUCCAAGUUUUCCAGCUUCCUCCAAUCUUUUCUUGUAUUCUUGACAGUAGCUUUCGAGCUCCUCCAUGCUCGGACACCCAUAUCUGACAAAGGAGACCAUCAACACUAAAUUAUCUAUAUUAACUAUCAAUAUAUGAAUGCAACAUAAGUCUUGCUUCACUUCUAUCCUCAAAAAGUGCAAUCUUUCUAUAGCAACAGAUCAACAAAGAUUAUUUAAACAAAUUGCUAAUAAUCUCCACAGACAAUAGAAACAAGCAAGUUGAAUAUUAGUCUGCUAGACAUAUUUAAUUUUUUAUCAUAAACUUUUGAUCAGUGGAAAAUUAGUUCUACUAGAAUUGAAAAAUGAAAACUUACUUAGUCAUUGCUGCAAAAAGAAAAAAUGAAGAAAGAUUUCUCCAUGCCUUCUAAUUUACUAGUGAAGAAAACCUUACUCAUUUGACAGCUUAUCCAGUCUCACAUAAACAUAUCCUCGAUGAGUAGUCUUGAAAGCAUAGAGUUCCAGGUCAUCAGCAAACUGCAACAAGACCUCACGGGCAAUAGAGAGAACCUGUUCACCCCAUGGGACGCCUUGCAACACGACUCCACCGCCAUCCCCACCAUCACCAGCUUGAGGCUCUACUUCCUCCUCUUCUUCCCAUCCAUCUGUUUCUCCCUCUUCAGUUGUUUCAUAUUGAAGUGGGUUUUCUUUGGUGCCAUUCUCUUGAUCAUUACUCUGGGUAGAGCUGGUGUUCAAGAGCCGAGAAGAGAAAGACGGAUAAUGGUAUACAGCAGAGAAGGGUGCUUCUCGAGAGAAACUACGCAAACGAGAAGGAGAAUGAUAAUGAGGAUUCUGAAAUUGCCGGGUUUUGAAAUUGUGGGUAAAGAAAGAGAUGAGUCUUUGGGUGGUGCAAAAAGUAGAAGAGAAGAGCGACCUGCGAGAAGUCUGUAGAAGAAGAAGAUGGUGAAGAAUCCGACCGGAGCUCAUUUU